UUAAGUUCAGCGGGUAUCCCUACCUGAUCCGAGGUCAAACUAUAGAGGGCUUGCUGGACGCCGAUCCACCAUAUAGCUUCGAGAAGCGCAAAUGUGCUGCGCUAGAAGCUGGCACGACCGCUGCCAAUAGCUUUGGGGCGAGUCCACGCGCGGAGGCGGGACAGACGCCCAACACCAAGCAGAGCUUGAGGGUGAUAAUG
rnacentral:misc_RNA from 1 species